UUAAUUGUGCACAGAUAAAAUAAAAGGAUUGAUCUAUACUUUUGAAAAAAACUCGAGGCUUUUUUAUACCUCCUGCCUUAAUAAUAUUUAAUGUAAUGUAUCUAUGUAAUUCAUCAUUCUUUUCAAAAUUGGAAGAAACCCUAAUCUUACCAAAACACCUGCUCUCUCUGUCGGCCACUACUAUUACUAAUCUCUAUUAUGCAAUCCACAGAACAACCUUCUCUCAGUCUUCUCUAGAGAAGUUUAACCUAACCACAAAGCUCUGAAACAGAUACAUAAAAUUGGAAGCAAAAUCAGGUGAAUACCAUCUAUAUUUUACUUAUCUAACAGUUUCUCUUUAUUUCUUGCAGUAAUUGGCAGAUCCAUCAUCAGGCGUUGCGAUUACAACACAAGAUCAAAUCAGCAUUGACUGAAUCCAGAUACGGCAACAAAAACUAAAAGAUCAAAAAAGUCAGAAAAUGGCGAAAUAUCAUGAGUUAAGUUUUUCAAAUUAUGUAUCUUUUUUUUUAUUAUUUUCUGCGUGUUAUUGUCUGGUUGUAAUUGUUCAUUGGAAUUAUGAAUGAAAAAAACAAUUGUAAAUAGAAUUAUUUGAAAAUUGGAUUUUAAUACAAUUAUUUAAGUAAUGGCUAAUAUAAUUUUAUAUGAAAAUUUAAAUAAUCUAAGCUACUGUAUAUGAAUUUUAAAAAUAAAAAAACAAUUUGAGUGUUAACUGAGCUUAAUUAAAAAUACUUAACCGAAACAAUCUAAUUAAAUUUCAGCAAAUUUAAUAAUUUAAUUUAACAUAAAUGGAACUUUAACAAAAUCAAACAAUUAUAGAAAUUUAUGUUAACUACAUUUUAUUUUAAAGACAUUUUUAUAAUUAAAUGUAUGUUGUAUAAAAUUAUAUCAACAAAUUAAAUGUUCAUAUCUAAUUUAACUUAAAUGGGGUUUCCACUUAAACAAACUGUCAAAAUGCAUUUAUAAUAUAAAUUUAAAACAUUAUAAUCGCCACCAACAUUUAUAUUAAGAGUUUUACUAUUCGCCAUCCUUUUUUACUUGACACUGCCCCUACAUAAUACUUUUUUACCCUUCUUUGAAAACAAAACAAAAAGCUCUCAAUCACAUUCGAAUACAUACAAAUACGUCGAUUAAAAUGACAGAUAACGAUUACAAUUCGUUGGGUAACGAGUAUCGACGUUCCGAAACAAGUUUUCCGGUUUUUGGAAGGUAAAAACACAUUGUUUUUAUUAAUUUCUGAUCUGGGCCGACGCCGUCUCGGAACGUCGGCUUAGAGGAGAGAUGUUCUCCUUGAAUGUCUCUCUUUUCCCACUAGGACGUCUCCCCAGUUCUGCCGGCGGCAAACAGAAAAUCGCCGCCGGCGGUAGAUUUAUUAUUAAAAAAAAUCGUAAAAAUAUUUUAAUUGUUAAAUUUAAUUAUUUAUGUUGUGGAGGUUUAUUUAGAAGAUUUUGACAGUGACAGAAUUGAUUGUGAUUAAUUUUUAAACCAUAUCGGUUUAAUACUGAUGCUGAAGCAAUUAGUUGGGCUAAGAGAAUUGCUAUACAAAUUGAGUUUAAGUUAGUAAUUUCGUCUCAUAAGAACAGGAGAAAAAAAAAGCUUUUGAGAUGUGCUCGGGGUGAGCGGUAUAGAGGUUCGGUCACGGAUUCUGAUUCAUCCGUACGAAAAAAUACAAAGACAUAGGCGUGUAAGUGCAAUUUCAAAAUUGUAGUCAAAUUGCGUAGAACUGCAUAGUUUGUACUUGUGAAGCCUGGUAGUUUGAGUAAACACAACUAUGCUUUAGCUGUGUAUCUUGAGAGAUACCGUCAGAUGAGUGGAUUGAGUGAUGUGGCGAAAGAGAUUGUGCGAGUUAUAAAUGUGGCACAAGGUAAGCCGUGUUUUAUCAUGACAGCUUUGAAAGAAACAAUACCAUCUGACAACCCUAUAUGAAGGUAGGUGUAUAAUUACAGAGAGAAUUUGAGAAAGUCCGGCUUUGAGGGUAGAGAUGUGGUGGGUCAGUUUUAUCACAUGGCUCAGAAGAGUGAUUAUGUGCACUCGACUCUUGCUGAGGAGGAUACAGGUGUGACGACCCACCUAUUCAUGGCUCAUCCCGAUUCAAUGAGGCUACUACGUUCGUACUACUGGAUAAUCGGUAUGGACUCCACGUACAAGACGAAAAAGUAUUUUUUUUAGAUUGUUGGAAUGACUCCUUCCAACAAGAACUUCAUACUUGCAUAUGCAAUUAUGAAGGAUGAGACUGAGGGGAGCUACAAAUGGGUGUUGGAGAGACUGGGGUAUUUGAUUAUAAUCAUGUUAUUUAAUAUUUGUAAAAUUAUGAUAUUCAAAUUCCUUAUUAAAUCAUCGGGUAAUACUACAGGUGCUUGAUUGGGGAUCAUAUUCAUCAGAGUGCUAUUCUUACUGAUCAGGAGCUGAGGCUAGUUAGACCAAUUUCAGAGAUAUUCCCACAAACUUUUCAUCAAUUAUGUACAUGACACAUAAACAAGGAUGUAAAAGAUAGAAUGUACAGAAUAAGUGGGAAAAACAAGGUUUUUGCUGAAAUUUUCAAGAAUAGUACGUGGAAGAAAAUUAUCACGACGCCAACAUUGCAACAAUAAAAGAUAGUUGUGGAUGUCUUGAGAGAUCGGUUUAAAGCGUUUCCAGGGUUAAUACAGUAUAUUGAGGGGACUUGGUUAGUGCACAGAGAGAAGUUUGUAUCAUGCUGGACGAACAACGUCCUACAUUUUGAAAACACCACCACGUAUAGAGUGGAGAGUGAACAUGCUCAUCUAAAUCAGUGGCUUAACUCUAGCACUGGUGCGUUAGACAUAGUUUGGACGAAGGUCGACCAAGUUAUACAGUCGCAGUUGACAGAUAUCUGGAAUGCCAUUUUUUUCCAAUUAAUAUUACUACUUAUACAAAUUAUGUUGUCAUUAUUAAUAAUAUAAAUGUUUUGCAUAUUGGCAGCAAAACACUUGAGGACUCAUGAUGGACUAUGGGCGUCCAUCGACACGAUUUUUCAUUUGACAAGAUCUCCUGCAGAGUGUCUCAUUACUGUCUUGAUGUAAUAUCGACUGAACUGAAGCGUAUGCGAGAAUUGAGUACUGAAGUUUAUGAUCGGUGUGGUUAUGUGUCGAGAUCAACACAUUGGAUCCCCUGUGCAUGUGAGCUGCGAGCAGUGAUAGAUUCAAGUACCACGCAACACUUUUAUUGUAUACUAAUUAUAUAUGUUAAUAUCGUUAUUUAAAGCUAACUUGUAUUAUUUUCAGGUAACCCGAUCAGUUUGGAUAGUAUCCCCCCUUUUUGGAAGGCACUUGUUAUCGGUGAUGUGAUGGACAUAUCUGCACAGGCUGAUUAUGCUGCUUUUCGGUCAGAGGAUCAUCAAUUUUUUUCACGGGAUCUCUGAGGAUGUUAUGACUAAGGAUCCUUCAAUAGUGUGUGAUAUUUCUCGUAUUGUCUACGAGCAACUUCACCCCGAAGACUUAGGUUAUAGAGAACCAGAAGUGAAGACUGCGAUCAGAGGUCGACCAUAGAGGACCAAAUCAACCAAGCGGGAGCCGACUCGUUGGGAGUACAAGGACCGUGGACGUGGUCGUCCUAAGUCUUCCUGGAAACGGCCUUGAAGGGGGUAAUCUCGACCUCGGGAAGACUUAGGACGACCACGUCCACGGUCCUUGUACUAAAAAACGACUCAGAUCCCGCUUGGUUGAUUUGCUCCCCUUUGGUCGACCUCUGACAUUGGUUUUCACUUCGGGAUCCCUAUAGCCUAAGUCUUCGGGGUAAAGUUGCUCGCGAACAAUACGAGAAAUAUCACGCAGCAUUGAAGGAUCUUUAGUCAUGACCUCUUCGGCGAUCUCGUGAAAAUAUUAUGAUCCACCGACCGAAAACCAGCAUAAUCAGCCUGUGCAUAUGUAUCCAUCCCAUCGCCGAGAAUAACAAGUGCCUUCCAAAACGGGUGAAUACUAUCCAGACUGGUCGGGUUACCUGAAAAUAACACAAAUUAUCUUUUAAUAACAAUAUUACUAUUUUUAAUAUUAGUAUGCAAUAAAAAUGUUGCGUGGUACCUGAAUCUACCACUGCUCGCAGCUCACAUGCACAUGGGAUCUGAUGUGUUGAUCUCUGCACACAACCACACCGAUCAUAAACUUCAGUACUCAAUUCUCGCAUACGACUUAAUUCUUUCGAUAUUAAAUCCAGACAUUAAUGAGACACUCUGCAGGAGACCUUAUCAGAUGGAAAAUUGCGUCGAUGGACGCCCAUAGUCCGUCGGGAGUCCUCAAGUGUUUUGCUGCAAAUAUGCAAAACAUUUAUAUUAUUAAUAAUUACAAUAUAAUUUGUAUAAGUAGUAAUAUUAAUCGAAAAAAAUGCAUAUCAGAUAUCUGUCAGCUACGACUAUAACUUUGCCGACCUUUGUCCAGACGGUGUCCAGAGCACCAGUGCUAGAAUUUAGCCAUUGCUUUAGCUGAGCAUGUGCGCUGUCCACUCUACACGUGGUGGUGUUUCCAAAAUGUAGGACUAAGUUCGCCCAACAAGAUACGGACUUCUCUCUGUGCACCAACCAAGUACUCUCAAUGUACUGUAUCAACUCUGGAAAAGCUUUAAACCGAUCUAUUCUCCAAAAUUUCAGCAAAUUCUUUUUUUCCCCACUUAUUCUGUACACUCUAUCUUCUACAUCCUUAUUUAUGUGCCAUGUACAUAGUAGAUGAGAAGUCCAUGGGAGAAUAUCUGACACUGGUCUAACCAGCUCCAGUUCCCGAUCAGUAAGAAUAGCACUCUGAUGAAUAUGAUCCCCAAUCAAGCACCUGUAGUAUUACCCGAUGAUUUAAUAAGGAAUUUGAAUAUCAUAAUUUUAAAAUAUUAAAUAACAUGAUUACAAUCAAAUACCUCAGUUUCUCCAACACCCAUUUGUAGCUCCCCUCAGUCUCAUCCUUCAUAAUUGCAUAUGCAAGUAUGAAGUUCUUGUUGGAAGGAGUCAUUCCAACAAUCUAAAAAAAUACUUUUUCGUCUUGUACGUGGAGUCCAUACCGAUUAUCCAGUAGUACGAACGUAGUAGCCUCACUGAAUCGGGAUGAGCCAUGAAAAGGUGGGUCGUCACACCUGUAUUCUCCUCAGCAAGAGUCGAGUGCACAUAAUCACUCUUCUGAGCCAUGUGAUAAAACUGACCCACUACAUCUCUAUCCCCAAAGCCAGACUUUCUCAAAUUCUCUCUGUAGUUGUACAUUUGCCUUCUUGUAGAGUUGUCAGAUGAUAUUUUUUCUUUCAAAGCUGCCAUAAUAGAACACGGCUUUCCUUGUGCCGCACUCAUAUCCUGCACAAUCUCUUUCGCCUCAACACUCACCCCACUCAUCUAACGGUAUCCCUCAGGAUACACAGCUAAAGCAUGUGUACUCGAAAUAUCAGGCUCCGUAAGUACAAAUCAUACAGUCUUACCUAAUUUGACAACAAUUUUGAAUUUGCACUGACACGCCUUUGUCUUCGUAUUUUUUCGUACGAAUGAAUCAGAAUCUGUGAACGAACCUCUGUAACGCUCACCCCGAGCACAUCUCAGAAGCUUUCGUCUUCCCUCGUUCUUCUGAGACGAAAUGACCAACUCAAACCCAAUCCCUAUAGCAAUAUUCUUAGCCCAACUAAUUGCUUCAACAUCAGUAUCAAACCCAUGUCCUGCAUUAAACCGAUCGCUGUAAUCAAUUCCGUCACCGCCAAAAUCUUCUAAGUGAACCUUCACAACAUAAAUAAUUAUGUUUAACAAAUCCUAAAAUUUAACACAUUUUUUUUGUUAAAUAAAUAUAUUGCCGGCGACGAUAUUGUUCGCCGCCGGCGGAAUGGGGGGGACGUCCCAGAGGGACAUCCCUCCAGAAAGAGGGACUUCCCUCUGGGAAGUCUUUCUAGAAGACGGGACGUCCCCCUUCUUCUGGACCGAUUUGCCCAGAUGACAUCGGCCCAGAAGAACGGACGCCGGCCCAGGGCGUCCGUUCUUCUGGGCUGAUGCUAUCUGGGCUCGUCGGCCCAGAAUUCGGAAAUUAAAAAAAAAUUAAAAACACGUUUUUUACCUCGGAAAAGCCGGAAAAACUUGUUUCCGAACGUCGAUACUCGUUACCCGACGAAUUGUAAUCGUUGUCCGUUAUUUUAAUCGACUUUUUACGUAUUUGUUCGAAUGAGUUGAGAGAAUUUUUUUGUGAUGGUUUUGCUAGAAGGGCGAAAAUAUCUUUUGUAGGGGCGAUGUUAAGUAAAAAGGGGCGGCGAAUAGUAAAAUCCAUAUUAAAAUUUAGCAUUAAAUCUUAAAAUACAACUCUAAUGCAGUGCUAUAGCAUGUGCUAAAUUUAGCAUAUACUAUAUCGUGUGCUAAAUUUAGCACUGACUAUAGCAUAUGCUAAAUUACAACAUCUAA